rnacentral:tRNA from 1 species
AUUUAUAUAGUUUAUUUAAAAUAUUAAAUUGCAAAUUUAAAGAAAUUUAAUUAUUAUAAAUU